rnacentral:lncRNA from 1 species
GAAAACCAAAAAAAACUUUGUGCAAACAUUUUCACUUGUUUUCAAAACUAGAAACCUAGGCCUUAAGCCUCUGAUUUUCAAACUUCAUUUUCACAAUACUUCUUUUAAAUUGAACAUAAUGCCAACUUUGACCAUCUUUGUGAAUACUUCUAAUUGGUUAAUUCCACUCACUCAAUUGUUUUUGUGGCUUUGUCCAUUCUUAACCAAGUUUUCAUGCAUUAGCCAUAGAUCUCAAUUAUCUUAGUGGUUG